rnacentral:rRNA from 1 species
UCUGAAGGAAUACCGGUGGCGAAGGCGGCCCCCCUGGACAGAUACUGACACUCAGAUGCGAAAGCGUGGGGAGCACACAGGAUUAGAUACCCUGGUAGUCCACGCCGUAAACGAUGUCUACUUGGAGGUUGUGGCCUUGAGCCGUGGCUUUCGGAGCUAACGCGUUAAGUAGACCGCCUGGGGAGUACGGUCGCAAGAUUAAAACUCAAAUGAAUUGACGGGGGCCCGCACAAGCGGUGGAGCAUGUGGUUUAAUUCGAUGCAACGCGAAGAACCUUACCUACUCUUGACAUCCAGAGAACUUUCCAGAGAUGGAUUGGUGCCUUCGGGAACUCUGAGACAGGUGCUGCAUGGCUGUCGUCAGCUCGUGUUGUGAAAUGUUGGGUUAAGUCCCGCAACGAGCGCAACCCUUAUCCUUGUUUGCCAGCGAGUAAUGUCGGGAACUCCAGGGAGACUGCCGGUGAUAAACCGGAGGAAGGUGGGGACGACGUCAAGUCAUCAUGGCCCUUACGAGUAGGGCUACACACGUGCUACAAUGGCGCAUACAGAGGGCAGCCAACUUGCGAGAGUGAGCGAAUCCCAAAAAGUGCGUCGUAGUCCGGAUCGGAGUCUGCAACUCGACUCCGUGAAGUCGGAAUCGCUAGUAAUCGUGGAUCAGAAUGCCACGGUGAAUACGUUCCCGGGCCUUGUACACACCGCCCGUCACACCAUGGGAGUGGGCUGCAAAAGAAGUAGAGUAG